UACGGAAGGCAGCAGUGGGGAAUAUUGCACAAUGGGCGAAAGCCUGAUGCAGCUAUGCCGCGUGUAUGAAGAAGGCCUUAGGGUUGUAAAGUACUUUCAUCGGGGAGGAAAAACAAAACUAAUAAUUUUAUUUCUUGACGUUACCCGAAAAAGAAGCACCGGCUAACUCCGUGCCAGCAGCCGCGGUAAUACGGAGGGUGCUAGCGUUAAUCAGAAUUACUGGGCGUAAAGAGCACGUAGGUGGUUUUUUUAAGUCAGAUGUGAAAUCCCUGGGCUUAACCUAGGAACUGCAUUUUGAAACUGAAAUACUAGAGUAUCGUAGAGGGAGGUAGAAUUCUAGGUGUAGCGGUGAAAUGCGUAGAUAUCUGGAGGAAUACCUGUGGCGAAAGCGGCCUCCUAAACGAAUACUGACACUGAGGUGCGAAAGCGUGGGGAGCAAACAGGGAUUAGAA
rnacentral:rRNA from 1 species